GGCUGAAUCAAGUGUCGUGGCAGGAAUUCUUAGAUUAGCUGUUCCAAGACAGAGUGGAAAGAGCGGUGGGACAGAGAGACAGGAGGAGUAGCAGCAGCAGGCCUUACUGGCAGUGAAUAGCAGUAGGGGACCAACGGUAUUUUCAGCUGCAGCGCUGACGCCUAAAAAGGACAGCCUCCUGGAUCACAGCAAUGUGCUUUC
rfam:Otolemur garnettii contig189636, whole genome shotgun sequence.